UCCCCGCACCUAUCGCCACCGCCCCUCGCUAAAAUAAAACCCACACGCCCGACGGCCGACGACGCACGACCCUCCUCCCUCGAGCAGCAGCAACGGAGCGGCGCGUAGGGGCUCAACCUAUGUCGACGGGCGGCGUGGUCCCUCUCCUCCAUCGAGUAGCGGCAGCGGCACGGGACGCAGCGGGCUCGGCCUUCGUCGGUGGCGGCAGGGUCCCUUUCCUCCCUCGACCAUCGGCGGCGGCACCGAAUGCAACAGGCGGCCAGGGAGACGGCGCUGCGUGCAAGGCGCGGCAACGAAGCUGAGGGAGCCGGCCCUUGUGGCACGGGGGCGCGACGGUUCCAUGGCGGCUGUGGGGUGGAGGGCGCGUGCGUGAAGGCGGCGCAUUCCUUUGGCUUUCGGCAUGCCGCGGCAUUGACUUCCCUGCUGUCGUCGUGCUCCCUGAUGCCAGCUCCUCCUUCCUCCCGCCGCUGGACAUGCACAACACCAUCCCAUGCCCUCUGUCCGCUGGCCAGAGAAAGGCAUCAGUGAGAAAUAUGGAUGAUGCACGCGAACGGAUUGGCACUCCCAUCUCCACUGCACUGAAGGAGAUCAAGCCCAUUUCCAUCAGCAUCAACUAGAACCUCCCCUCGACCUGCAUCCUUGCCUUUCUUUUGUAUCUCCCCAAGACUGUCAAACCAGAUGAGCCUGAAAGGAACUAAGAGAAAUGACUAUUCAUUUGGCUUUGGUAUUACUAUUGUUGAUGAACUGCUCAUUUGCCAGACUGUCAAACCAGAUGAGCCUAAAAGGAACUAAGAGAAAUGACUAUUCAUUUACCAAUCUUGCCAUUCUCUGUAUUGUCAAUUUGCCAAUUCGACUGAUGCUUGAAUGUAUUAGUAGACAAAAUGACAUGUUUGUUGAUCAGCUAUGAUAUGUGUUUCCAUUGGCUACUUGCCGCUUUCUAAGGGGCAGAUUUUAGCUUGACAAGAUUUUUGCAAAAACAUAGCAGUGCUCUUGAUCUGAUGGAAACUCAGAGUAGGGUGUUCCAAACUAGAUUGAUACACGUAAGAAUUUUUGACUGAUUUUUAUGCUCAGAGCUACAUACAUGCUCGCAGCGCUUCACCUAUCCUAGAACUUUCAUUUCAAUUUUUGUGUCGCUACAAUUUGUCCAUUAAUCGAUAUUCUAGCUCCAUUAAUCGGUAUUCUAGCUGAAAGUUUCAAAGUUGUCAAUUGUUUUCGAAACUCGGUUCACAGAGUGGCUGGUCCUUUUUUGGGACAUAUUUGUUGUGUCUUUUCCCCAUUUUGUCUUGUAUUUUGUCAUACACAGUUCAAUUAGCUAAUUGUUAUUAUGCCAUAGGUAAAUUGUGCAACCUAUUGCCGCUCUGCCAUGGGUCACAUGGUCGUCCUUCAUACACCGCUUUACUAGGACUAACGCUGAAGUACAGAUGAUGGUGUAUAAAAUUCCAAAAGAAGUUGCCUCUUGUUUGGACACCCCGAAGCACGGGCUGGCAAGACUAAGAUUGGGCAAAGAGAGCUUCAGGAGGACCGUUUAUGACACCUCACUCGACGGUUUAUUCUUCAAGCAAGGAUGGAAGAAGUUCCUCACGAGACAUGACAUGAGAUUAGCACUGCUAUACUAAUUACAUUUAAGACUGUUGCCAACAAUGAGUUGGAGAUUAUAGUCAUCCUUUUAUGUCCUUUGAGAAGAUCAUGUUGGACAAGUUCCAGGCUUUCAUGAGUUAUUUAGUCAUUUCUCAGCGUUUUUUAAACCAUGGAGGAGAACUGCAUGUGAACUUCAUAGAUACGAGAAGAAAAGAA